rnacentral:lncRNA from 1 species
UCAGACUACCUGGACCAUGCAGAAGGAACACCAUCAAAUCUGUUGCACUGUCAGGUUGUACAAUGCACUUUAGGUUUCCAGCUUUUGUGACCUGGCACCCAUCCUGAGAUGGACUUUGAGCUGUCCUUGAGUCAUUUCUGCUUCGUUCCACAUUACCUCAUCUGGAUGCCUUAAGACAAGAUGCUCAGCAAGACAGCAACACGGACAUCAACGAUCAGAAGUGGCACUUGGCCCAGCCCCACCUAAGCGAACAGGAUAUUCAGAAAUCUCCAGAAGAAUUAGACAGCCUGUCUUACAAGUGCUUAUUAAUAAAAGGGUGUGGAGAGCCUUGAGAUAUAAAA